UUAUCCACAAAACCAAACCAAAACUCGUGUCUUUAUCUUUUAAUUACAGCUUUGUUCCCGAAAGUCAGAAACCGUUCGUCUCCCCCCCCUCUCUAUCUCUCUCUAGAUGGCUCGUUCCCUCUCCCUUCCACUUUCUCUCUCUAAAAACCGACUCACAGCAGCUGCAGCCUCCUUCCUCCCUUCAUCGCACCUCUUAUCCAUCCGAUCUCAAUCCUCCGACCGUCGCGGCGAUCUGUACGAAUUCGACAUCGCCGCGUCGCAAUCGCCCUCGGAUCCGUUAAUUCAGAAGCUAGAGGACGCCGUUCACCGGAUAGUCGUCCGAAGAUCGGCACCCGAUUGGCUCCCGUUUGUUCCCGGUGCGUCGUACUGGGUCCCUCCUCCUGGAUCUGGAUCUCAGACUCACGGGAUCGCUCAGCUCGUCGCGAAGCUGGCUAAUCCGUUAACGGACGAAGAAUCUCUCUCCACCAAUUCGUCUCGCGGAUGGCCUUCCUCUGAUUAUUUCCUUAAAGGUAAAAAGGCCUAGCUUUGUGGUGGUGUAACAGGUUCAUACUUUGGGUUUUGAUCGUGUUAGUGCUACAUGUUAAAUGUUAUUAACAUUUAUUGAAAUCUUAUAUUUUAGGUGUGCAGCCUCUAUUGAUGGAGACUAAGACCGAGGCGACUUCAAAUACAGAGUCUCACUCCGAGGAUGAGGAAGGGUAAAGAGAAUGCUACUUUGAAGAAUCAACCGGCGCGUUUGGGUGGGUUGUUACUUAAACUAAAGGUCUGACCUUUUUUAUUGAAUGAUCAUGUAUAAAGAGUCAGACGUCUGAUGACUUUUUGGUUGGGUUUCAUUAGAUAGAAGAAAUAAUGAAGCUAGAUCUAUUGGAUCUGUAGAUUGUUAUGAAUAUGAGCCGGGGUGAUUCUGAUGACGACUGAACCAAGUCAAGUGCAAAGACUCGCCAUAUAGACUGCUUUACUAAUCCUGAAAUGUAAAAAAAAAAGAAUAAUAGUAGUUAGUUGUAGCCAUUUUACCUCUGUUUAGUGUAAUCUUUUCCUUUUUUAAAAAGCUGUUGUAUAUAUUUCUGUUUCAUUGCUCUUUCAGUUAUGUAACCAGUUUAUGAUAAACUCGAAUGAAUAAAAGGGGAAAAAAAAUUGAGCUUUCA